rnacentral:rRNA from 1 species
GACGAACGCUGGCGGCGUGCUUAACACAUGCAAGUCGAACGAUGACGACCGAGCUUGCUCGGUCUGAUUAGUGGCGAACGGGUGAGUAACACGUGAGCAACCUGCCCUUCACUCUGGGAUAACCUCGGGAAAUCGGGGCUAAUACCGGAUAUGAGCUCCUGUCGCAUGGCGGGUGUUGGAAAGUUUUUCGGUGAAGGAUGGGCUCGCGGCCUAUCAGUUUGUUGGUGAGGUAGUGGCUCACCAAGGCGAUGACGGGUAGCCGGCCUGAGAGGGCGACCGGCCACACUGGGACUGAGACACGGCCCAGACUCCUACGGGAGGCAGCAGUGGGGAAUAUUGCACAAUGGGCGAAAGCCUGAUGCAGCGACGCCGCGUGAGGGAUGACGGCCUUCGGGUUGUAAACCUCUUUCAGCAGGGAAGGAGCGAAAGUGACGGUACCUGCAGAAGAAGCGCCGGCUAACUACGUG